UUCAAUGACACAAUGAAAUAAAAAAUAAAUGGGUUUAGGAGGAAAAAUGUGUCAUUCUUAUUAAACAGGCAUGUUUUUUUUAAAGAAGAUAGAAACUCCUUCACGAAAAAACACCAACCCUUUUCCUCAGUAAGCCUCUUCACCUUCUCCAUGAUUUCGAUUACCACCUCCUUCAACCCUGAUGCAAGCACCAGUCGUCGCCUUUGUCACCCCUCUCCCCUUCUGUCUGACAUUUUCUUCUCUUCUUCGUCAACUGCAUCUCACGAAUCCCAAAUUUAGUGUUGUCGUCCAGCUUCAGUCGCCACCAAACAGGUUUGGGGUUUUUGGCUUGAUUGGGCUCCUGUUCCAAUUGUUUGAGCAUUGUGCAACGAUUUCGGCAACUUCUAAAGUUGUCAUCCAGUUUGAGGUUGCACGAAGAACGAGGAAAAAGGAGAGAAGAAAAAAGCUUCACUUCUCCAUGCGCCUGCCUCGAGGAGGCAAUUGAAGAGGCAAAGAAGAGAAAUGGGCGAUAACUAAAGUAGGGGUCGAAUGCCAGCGUCGAGAGUUCUACCAAGUCCCUCCCACCACAACACAAAGAGUUGCAUCUUGGUGGCGAAGAGAGGUUGGUACAUUGCUACACGAUGAGACAAGUAAAUCUGACAUAAAGAUGAAAAAGAGGUACCAAGCUAUAGGAUCAUGUUUUAAGUCGUGUUAUAAGAGAAAAGUUUAAAUUAUGUAGAACAUUGUAAAAGUGUUAAGUUAAUAAAAAAAACAUUUCAUACUCA